GGAAGUGGAAGUCAACUGAUUUGGUUACCUGGCUCACUGAUUUCUUCACAGGGAGCCCUGAGUGAGGAGCAGGAAAAAGAAUUUGGAGGAAAGAAGAGGGAGGAAUUAAUUCUACUUGGAGAAAUGAGGACAACAACCAUGUUUCAACAGCAAGAUUCUUCCAAUAGUAUCAUCAGAUCAUAUAUACCAACGGCUACAACAGACCCUUCUUCUUCUUCUCUCAAACAUGGAUAUGAUACCUAGAGAUACAGCAGCUAUCUUGAGAUAAUGAGGCAACAAGCACAAAGAAGAAGCUAAGAAACACAGAGCAGCCAUCUUGAGCAACAAGUAUGGAAAAAAAAAAAUUAAGACUCACAGAGAUGUCAUUGAACCAAAGCUAGCAACAAACUACUUUCAGACUUCUGUGAAGCAAAUAAAUCAUUAUUCUUUAAACCUCUCUAGUUAAAUAGGCUAUUACCUUCAGUAAAAUACAUUCCUAACUGAUAAAAAUAAGAACAAGCACCAUGUAUUCUGCUUGCUAUUACCAUAGGAGCAAACAGGGUAAAAUCUAUGCCAACAAACAGAAGCU